CAAGUGAGUCAUCGAAUCUUUGAACGCACAUUGCGCCCCCUGGUAUUCCGGGGGGCAUGCCUGUCCGAGCGUCAUUGCUGCCCUCAAGCCCGGCUUGUGUGUUGGGUCUCGUCCCCCUUCCCGGGGGGACGGGCCCGAAAGGCAGCGGCGGCACCGCGUCCGGUCCUCGAGCGUAUGGGGCUUUGUCACCCGCUCUGUAGGCCCGGCCGGCGCUUGCCGAUCAACCAAAACUUUUUUCCAGGUUGACCUCGGAUCAGGUAGGGAUACCCGCUGAACUUAAGCAUAUCAAUAAGCGGAGGA
rnacentral:misc_RNA from 1 species